UACAGAGGGUGCGAGCGUUAAUCGGAAUUACUGGGCGUAAAGCGUGCGUAGACGGUCAUGUAAGUCGGAUGUGAAAGCCCCGGGCUCAACCUGGGAAUUGCAUUCGAGACUGCGUAGCUAGGGUGCGGAAGAGGGAAGCGGAAUUUCCGGUGUAGCGGUGAAAUGCGUAGAGAUGUGGAGGAAUACCGAUGGCGAAGGCAGCCCCCUGGGCCAAUACUGACGCUCAUGCACGAAAGCGUGGGGAGCAAACAGG
rnacentral:rRNA from 1 species